UAAUACGUAGGUGGCGAGCGUUGUCCGGAAUUACUGGGUGUAAAGGGCGUGUAGGCGGGAGAGCAAGUCAGAUGUGAAAACCCAUGGCUUAACUGUGGGACUGCAUCUGAAACUGUUUUUCUUGAGUACUGGAGAGGAAAGUGGAAUUCCUAGUGUAGCGGUGAAAUGCGUAGAUAUUAGGAGGAACACCAGUGGCGAAGGCGACUUUCUGGACAGUAACUGACGCUGAGGCGCGAAAGCGUGGGGAGCAAACAGG
rnacentral:rRNA from 1 species